UGGGGAAUCUUGCACAAUGGGGGCAACCCUGAUGCAGCGACGCCGCGUGAGCGAUGAAGCCCUUCGGGGCGUAAAGCUCUUUCGACCGGAACGAUAAUGACGGUACCGGGAGAAGAAGCUGCAGCUAACUACGUGCCAGCAGCCGCGGUAAUACGUAGGCAGCAAGCGUUGUUCGGAGUUACUGGGCGUAAAGAGUGCGUAGGCGGUUUUCUAAGUUCGGUGUGAAAUCUCCCGGCUUAACUGGGAGGGUGCGCCGAAGACUGGGAAGCUGGAGUGUGGGAAAGGCAGGCGGAAUUCCUGGUGUAGCGGUGAAAUGCGUAGAUAUCAGGAGGAACACCGGCGGUGUAGACGGCUUGCUAGACCAUAACUGACGCUGAGGCACGAAAGCGUGGGUAGCAAACA
rnacentral:rRNA from 1 species